ACCUCGUACACAUAGUAGGAUCUCCAAUCCUCUCGAAAGGUAUUUGAGUAUGCUUAAUAGAGGAUAUAGAGAAAAUUAUUUCUCAUAGAAGAUAAGAAACAUAAAGAUGAUCCUAGAACUUACAACAAGACGAUGUGAGACAUCAACUUCAAAAAAGGAUGUGAAAUACCUUUUCUGAGUAGAGAAUUUUUGAAGAUUUCUAUAUGGAAUAGCCUA
rnacentral:lncRNA from 1 species